GUGAGGAAUAUUGCGCAAUGGAGACAACUCUGACGCAGCCAUGCCGCGUGCAGGAAGAAGGCGCUACGCGUUGUAAACUGCUUUUAACCGGGAAGAAACCCCAGGACGUGUCCUGGGUUGACGGUACCGGAGGAAUAAGCACCGGCUAACUUCGUGCCAGCAGCCGCGGUCAUACGAAGGGUGCAAGCGUUAUCCGGAUUCAUUGGGUUUAAAGGGUGCGUAGGCGGAGCGUUAAGUCAGUGGUGAAAUCCUGCAGCUUAACUGUAGACUUGCCAUUGAUACUGGCGCUCUUGAGUGCGCUUGAAGUGGGCGGAAUGUGCCGUGUAGCGGUGAAAUGCUUAGAUAUGGCACAGAACACCAAUUGCGAAGGCAGCUCACUAAGGCGAUACUGACGCUGAGGCACGAAAGCGUGGGGAUCGAACAGGAUUAGAUACCCCGGUAGUCC
rnacentral:rRNA from 1 species